rnacentral:rRNA from 1 species
AUUGAACGCUGGCGGAAUGCUUUGCACAUGCAAGUCGAGCGGCAGCGCGGGGGCAACCCUGGCGGCGAGCGGCGAACGGGUGAGUAAUGUAUCGGAACGUACCCAGUCGUGGGGGAUAACUAUCCGAAAGGAUAGCUAAUACCGCAUACGACCUGAGGGUGAAAGCGGGGGACCGUAAGGCCUCGCGCGAUUGGAGCGGCCGAUAUCGGAUUAGCUAGUUGGUGAGGUAAAGGCUCACCAAGGCGACGAUCCGUAGCUGGUCUGAGAGGACGACCAGCCACACUGGAACUGAGACACGGUCCAGACUCCUACGGGAGGCAGCAGUGGGGAAUUUUGGACAAUGGGGGCAACCCUGAUCCAGCCAUUCCGCGUGAGUGAAGAAGGCCUUCGGGUUGUAAAGCUCUUUCGGCAGGAACGAAACGGUCUCACCUAAUACGUGGGGCUAAUGACGGUACCUGAAGAAGAAGCACCGGCUAACUACGUGCCAGCAGCCGCAGUAA